rnacentral:lncRNA from 1 species
UUCCCUCUGCCUCCCCCUGCUUUCCUCAAAUUCCCUCUGCUUCCCUCUCCUUCCUUAUUCUUCCCUCUGCUUCCCGCUGCUUUCCUCUGCUUCCCUCUGCUUCCUUCUGCUUCCUUCUGAAUCAACUUCAACAAAAUGGGAAUGAUGAGACUCCAAUUACUGUAUCCCACCCUGUUUGAGAUGAGGCUUCAUCAGAGCUUUAUUGCAUCAUCUUGUCCACAUGUUUGUCUGUAGUUUGGUUUGAUAUGGAAGGUUUGUCUGUAUUUUGGUAUGAUAUGGAAGGUUUGUCUGUAUUUUGGUAUGAUAUGGAAGGUUUGUCUGUGGUUUGGUUUGAUAUGGAAGGUUUGUCUGUAUUUUGGUAUGAUAUGGAAGGUUUGUCUGUGGUUUGGUUUGACAUGGAAGGUUUGUCUGUAAAGGGUGAAAGGAACAUUGACUAUAAACAAUAACAUUGGGCAAUCACAGCAAUUCAAUACCGGUUUACCAAUAGAGACAUAUCAGUCAUCUUAGGCAGGAGAUCAAUAGGAAGUCUGUGUAGCCAAUGGAACCCUAUUGCCCAUAUAGUGCUCUUCUUUUGACCAGGGUCCAUAAGGCUCUUGCCAAAAGUAGUGUACUAAAUAGAGAAUAGGGUGCCAUUUGGGACACACAAAGACGAAUAACUCUGGGGUUGCAUGGCUUUAGAAGAGGAUGUGGAAGAGGAAGAGGUUGAGGAAGAGCGAGAGGGAGAGGAAGAGGAAGAGGAAGGGGAAGAGGGAGAAGAGAGGGGGAAAGGGAUAUCGUUUUAGUACCAGGGAGACA